rnacentral:rRNA from 1 species
GAAGAACGUUAGCGGCGUGCUUAAGACAUGCAAGUCGAACGGUCCUUCGGGAUAGUGGCGGACGGGUGAGUAACACGUGGGAACGUACCAUUAGGUUCGGAACAACACAGGGAAACUUGUGCUAAUACCGGAUAAGCCGUUCGGGGGAAAGAUUUAUCGCUUUUGGAGCGGCCCGCGUCUGAUUAGCGUGUUGGUGAGGUAAAGGCUCACGAAGGCUACGAUCAGUAGCUGGUCUGUGAGGAUGGCCAGCCACACUGGGACUGAGACACGGCCCAGACUCGUGCGGGAGGCAGCAGAGGGGAAACUUUCGCAAUGGGCGAAAGCCUGACGCAGCCAUGCCGCGUGGAUGAUGAAGGUCUUAGGAUUGUAAAAUCCUUUCACCGGAAACGAUAAUGACGGUACCCGAAGAAGAAGCCCCGGCUAACUUCGUGCCAGCCGCCGCAGUAA